AUUAUGGGUAUAAAUACACUUUUCUAAAAUAUUGCUCUCCCUCCACGAUUUCUCACCCACCAAAUAUUCCCUCCACCGUUUCAAACCCCCCAAAUGCUCAUACCAAAAUCAACUAGUAUACAAGACUGAAAGGGAAUGCUAGUGGGAUCAUCAUCACACAUCCUUGCUUUCCCUAAAUUUCCUCUAUUAUCAUCAUUUUCACCGUAAUAAAGAGAAAAUUUCAAUUACCGAAUGAAAUCCUAGAAUUCCUUUGUGCCUCAACAACUCUACCCUUUUGGUAGAAGAAGUUAUGGUUAUUCAUGGAUGAGCAUUGCAAUCCUCGAUCCCGGAAACCUAGAAGGGGAUCUUCAGGCCGAAGCCACUAUAGGGUACUCAAUGUUAUAGUUAUUGAUGUGAGUGAUGAUUACGGGGUUUGGGCGAGGGUUGGUGUGGCCAUGGGGCAUCAUCUUACCCAGAUUUUUUUUCUUUAUUUAUGGAUUAUCUUGCCCAAAUCUAUAGAGGUGAGAUUAUCUUACCCUUAGUUCUUUUCUUUUCCCGAUUUUUUAUUUUCAUUAAAAUAAAUUUAUUUUCAUAUUCAUUUUCAUUUUCAUGUUCAUGCUUUCGAAACUCUAAUGGUGAGUUUCCUCUCUUUAUUUUAUCGUUAAUUUGAAUGCAAAUAUAUGAUUGUUUUUACUCCAAUUAGGUCUCAAUUAUUCUGUUGUAUGACUUGCAUUUCGUGAGGUUUUUGCAAUUCAUUUGGAAAAUUGGGAAUCGAUUGGGUAAUCAUGGUGCACUCACCACUGCCACUUCAAAACCCUAGAAUUUCAUUUGGGUUUUAGGACUUCACAUUUUACUUGCUAUUAUGAACAUGAGUUUUUCUACACAAACAAGUCUAAGGUAAUGGCGACAAUUGGGUUGUUUAUGAUGAGAUAAUAUUUGCACAUGUUCUAAUUAUUUGCUUUUUUAUUUAUGGGUUGUUGUUUUCUUUCUUUUCUUUUAUUUUCUUCUGAUUGUUUUUUUUAAGGCAUUGUGUUUGGUUGAUGAAAAAGAUCCUAAAGAUUCAUAAUUGCUCAGGAAAAAAUAUUGUCUUGACAAUAAUUUUUCCUUAAUAUGUUUUUUUAUCAGGAAAAAAACAACUUUAUUUAUUCUAAAAUGUGGUCUGAAAUUGUGUUCCAACAACCUCAAAAAUCCCAAAUGCCUUUCUCUAUUUUUUAAUUAUUCUUUUUAAUAUGCAAGUGUUAGUUUAGAUCUAAAACUAAUAAAGAGAAAUUAAAAACCAGCUUUAACGUAUUGAAAUGAUGAUGCACUACAAAAAUACAAUACCUAGAUUACAUUAGGUGUUUCUACUUUUUCCUUGACCUUCAACUUUGCUAGUCUUUAAAUCUUUUUUUUAUAGAUGCCAUUGACUUGGCAAUCCUGAUUAUAUUUUUCUCAAGUUGUUCUUUGGUUUUUUGGCUUGUUGUUGGAAUAAUUUGAAUAUUUUUUUCUUUUAAUCUGUAAUUGAUUUAUAUUUGCUUAGUUCGUAUUUUUCUUUUUUCUGAAUUUGAGGACAACCUUAUAGAUUUUACUUCUAUUUCUUUGACCUGAUUUGCUUUGCUGCUGAUAUGAUUAUGUAGGAUAUGGGGCUUCCACUGGUAAGGACUAAAGAUAUUGCAGGAUAUGAUACUUUUUCACAUGUUCCCCCUAGUUUGAGUUCCAUCCCACUGAUGAAGAUCGUACGUGUUGAUUGAUUACUAUCAUGGAAAAAAAAAAAAAAGUUACUUCAAGAAGAAUUGACUUGGAUGUCAUAAAAUUGAGCCAUGGGAUCUUCAAGGGAAGACCAAUGUGGCACCCAGAUUGGAGUCAAGUUCUGGGAGGUAUUGUGCGCCGAGCAUGUCGUUGACUCUACUGGAAGGCACCAUGGGGAUUCUGAUCUACAGCUAGAGAGAGUUAACAUCUACUACAACGAAGCCAGUCGUGGAUGAUUUGUUCCUAGGGUCGUGCUCAUGGAUUUGGAGCCUGAGACUAUGGACAGUGUAAGGAUUGGUCCUUAUGGCAAAAUAUUCAAGCCUGAUAACUUUGUUUUCAGGCAGUCCGGCGCCGCGAAAAAUUGGGCCAAGGUUUAUUAUAUGUAGGUAGUAGAGCUUAUCGACUUUGUUCUUGAUGUUGUAAGGAAGGAGGUAGAGAACUAUGACUGUCUAGAAGGCUUCUAGGAGUCCUACACAAUGGACUCAAGCUUAGCACCCCUAACUUUGGUGACCCGAACUACUCGAUCUCUAGGACUAUAAAUGGGGUACUCUUGCUGCUUGAGGCUACCUAGCCAGCUAAACUCAAACCUCCGCAAGCUGGUUGUGAACUUCAUCCCCCACCGUCACCAUCUGCUGGUGCUUCCCAUUGACAGAAAUUGCUUCACUACAAUAGGCCAUGCAUGCUAUUAUCACUUUAUUUAUUUUACAUUCUUUUUUUAGUUUUAUUUUUUCUUUGCAUUUCUAAGCUGCAUAAAUAUCAUAUGUUGUAAAUAAACGACCUAAGUGUUGGAGUAGUUAUGAAGGCGAGAGAAUCAAUUUUGCUUAAGGCCUUGUUUAACCGAAAACUUAGGGGGCAAGUUGAGGAGCAAUGCUUCCAAAUGUGGAAUGCAAUGAGCUCUAGUUAGAGAUGACUCACGUGAGGGUAAGAUAUUCUGGAUGUUUCCAGAGAAGAGUAUUUAAACAGAGCAGAAUCAACUCUGUGGGGAUCUUUUAGCUAUUUUUAGUCUUUGGAGAGAGAGAAAGCUAUAGUCAAGAACACUACACUCGAGUUUGGAGUUAUAAAUUAGGGUUGUUUUUAUGUUGCUCUGUACUGAUCCAGUUAUCCUAGAAAUGCAAUUCGUAAUUUUCUAA